rnacentral:rRNA from 1 species
UACGUAGGGGGCAAGCGUUGUCCGGAUUUAUUGGGCGUAAAGAGCGUGUAGGCGGCCUGACAGGUCUGCUGUGAAAACUCGAGGCUCAACCUCGAGAUGUCGGCGGAAACCGUCUGGCUAGAGUCCGGAAGAGGAGAGUGGAAUUCCUGGUGUAGCGGUGAAAUGCGCAGAUAUCAGGAAGAACACCUAUGGCGAAGGCAGGUCUCUGGGCCACUACUGACGCUGAGAAGCGAAAGCAUGGGGAGCGAACAGG